UACGUAGGUGGCGAGCGUUAUCCGGAAUUAUUGGGCGUAAAGCGCGCGCAGGCGGUUUCUUAAGUCUGAUGUGAAAGCCCACGGCUCAACCGUGGAGGGUCAUUGGAAACUGGGAGACUUGAGUGCAGAAGAGAAGAGUGGAAUUCCACGUGUAGCGGUGAAAUGCGUAGAGAUGUGGAGGAGCACCAGUGGCGAAGGCGACUCUUUGGUCUGUAACUGACGCUGAGGCGCGAAAGCGUGGGGAGCAAACAGG
rnacentral:rRNA from 1 species